rnacentral:tRNA from 1 species
GCCUACUUAGCUGAGUUGGUAGUGCGUCUGCCUUGUAAGCGCUAGGCCGCGGGUUCGAUUCCCGCCCGGGGCG